rnacentral:rRNA from 1 species
CGAGCAAUCUGCCCUUCUCUUUGGAAUAAGCGUUGGAAACGACGUCUAAUGCCGAAUACGACCUCCUUUCGCAUGAUCGGAGGUGGAAAGCUCCGGCGGAGAAGGAUGAGCUCGCGGCCUAUCAGCUAGUUGGUGUGGGUAAUGGCCCACAAGGCGACGACGGGUAGCCGGCCUGAGGAGGGUGACCCGGCCACACUGGGACUGAGACACGGCCCAGACCUCCCGUACGGGGAGG